UCCAAACUCAGAUGACGAUUGUGCAACCAGCACUUUCCUGAUAGAGACAUUUCUGAGGCCCAUGCCCAGUUUUGUUGAAAGCCCUGCUUCCAACUUAUACAGCAGAGAUGCCUGCUGUUCAGCCCCAGCUCUGCUGCUCGCUGCUCUGUGACCUCAGAUGGCGCCGAAAGCGAAGAAGGAAGCUCCUGCCCCUCCCAAAGCCGAAGCCAAAGCGAAGGUCUUGAAAGCUACGAAGGCGGUGCUGAAAGGCGUCCACAACCACAAAAAGAAGAAGAUCCGAACGUCACCCACCUUCUGGCGGCCCAAGACCCUGCGGCUCCGGAGGCAGCCAAAAUAUCCUCGGAAGAGAGCCCAGGAGAAACAAGCUUGACCACUAUGCUAUCAUCAAAUUCCCACUGACCACUGAGUCAGCCAUGAAGAAAAUAGAGGACAACAACACUCUUGUGUUCAUUGUGGAUGUCAAGGCCAACAAGCAUCAGAUCAAACAGGCUGUCAAGAAACUCUAUGACAUUGAUGUGGCCAAAGUCAAUACCCUGAUAAGGCCCGACGGAGAGAAGAAGGCGGAUGUUCCCUAGGCUCCUGAUUAUAAUGCCCUAGAUGUUGCCGACAAGAUUGGGGUCCUCUAAACUGAGUCCAGAUGGAUAAUUCUAAAUAUACACUUUUUUUCACCAUAAUAAAGGAAGGAAGGAAGGAAGGAAGGAAGGAAGGAAGGAAGGAAGGAAGGAAGGAAGGAAGGAAGGAAGGAAGGAAGGUAGAGAGUGGCCCUGGGUUCUGUUAUCUCUGUGCAGCCACUGUGUGGCUUCAGUGUGGAUGUCAAUUGUAGAUUUAUUGCAUAUUAUCUGUGUUGAAUACACGGUUUUUCUUGCAUCCAGAGACUCAAGAGGCACUCCUGCUGGACUCAGAUUUCCAAGUUACUGGCUGUCCCACACUAUCCAUGUUUUACAGUGGCCAUUCUUGUGGUGAGUCUGGAGGGAACCAAGGCCCCACAGAAGGGCACCUGGGAGCCUCCUUCCAGCACAGACAGCCUGGGAGGAAAGGAGUUCAGAGGGAAGUUGAGGAAGAAGAGGGUGUAUGCCAGUGAGAUGGCAGAUAGAUAGCGAGCAGAGGGCAUGCAAGGGUCCUGCCAGGUUUGACCUGGGCACCUGCACCUGUGUCUGAGGCUGGGGAGGCUACCCAUUUCCUGAUGCUCUCUGAACACCAAGUUGUGUGUGUAUAUGUGUGCAUGUGUAUACACAUGUGAUAGGUGUGUACAUGUGGGGGGCUGUAUAUGUGGUAUGUGUGUGCACAUGUGGUGUGUGUGUGCAUGUGGAGUGUGUUUGUUCAUAUGUAGUGUGUGUACAUAUAUGGUGUGUACAUGUGUAUAUGCAUAUGCAGGGUGUGUGUUGUAGUGGUAAAUUAGCUCUUAGUGAGUCUCGCACACUGUACCCACCCAAGAGCUCUCUGGAUUCAUGAAUGAAAGACACACACACAUCAGCUAAUUUUGAUAUGCCUUUAGUAGCUCAAUGGUUGGGUACUUCUAAACCUUCCAUGGCUAGCACACACUUCCUUCCAGUAUUCCUGAGUUAACAUAUUUUAAAGUCUAUAUUUCAUCUCUGCUACCUCAGACCCAAUCAGGGAAGUGGCCCAAAGGGCAAUUCUUUAUUAUCAAUCAAAGCCUGACUUCUGUAGGGACCGGCCAUACUUGGUCAAA
rnacentral:lncRNA from 1 species